rnacentral:lncRNA from 1 species
CGGUCUGAAGAGAGUGUCAAACUGUACUGAGUUGAGAUGUUGAAAGCAUUUCUUUGGUAAGAGGUUUCCAUCAGACUGUUGAAAGAUUCCAUGACUUGAGAUUUCCUUGGGAGUUUAGGACGAGAGAAGCACCGGUGAAAAGUGAAGAAUUUUUUAAAAAGUUAUGAAAAUGUCGCCGGAAAGAAGUAGAUCUAAAUCAAACCACCGUCCGUACGAGGUUUAGAAGGAGGGGCUCCAUUCUCGAGAAAGU